CUUGGUCAUUUAGAGGAAGUAAAAGUCGUAACAAGGUUUCCGUAGGUGAACCUGCGGAAGGAUCAUUCAUAAUAAGUGUUUUAUGGCACUUUUUAAAUCCAUAUCCACCUUGUGUGCAAUGUCAGUUGUUCUCUUUUUUGAGAAUGACCAAACAUCAACUUAUUCUUUAACUCUUUGUCUGAAAAAUAUUAUGAAUAAAAUAAUUCAAAAUACAACUUUCAACAACGGAUCUCUUGGCUCUCGCAUCGAUGAAGAACGCAGCGAAAUGCGAUACGUAAUGUGAAUUGCAGAAUUCAGUGAAUCAUCGAAUCUUUGAACGCAUAUUGCGCUCUUUGGUAUUCCGAAGAGCAUGCUUGUUUGAGUAUCAGUAAACACCUCAAAGACUUCAAUUUGUUUUGAAUGGCUUUGGACUUGAGCAAUCCCAACACCAGUCUUUACGAUCGGUGGAGGGUUGCUUGAAAUGCAGGUGCAGCUGGACAUUCUCCUGAGCUAAAAGCAUAUUUAUUUAGUCCCGUCAAACGGAUUAUUACUUUUGCUGCAGCUAACAUAAAGGGAGUUUGACCGUAUUGGCUGACUGAUGCAGGAUUUCACAAGGGUCGGCAACGAUUCUUGUAAAACUCGAUCUCAAAUCAAGUAAGACUACCCGCUGAACUUAAGCAUAUCAAUAAGCGGAGGAAAAGAAACUAACAAGGAUUCCCCUAGUAACGGCGAGUGAAGCGGGAUGAGCUCAAAUUUAAAAUCUGGCUGGUUUACUAGUCCGAAUUGUAGUUUAUAGAAGCGUUUUCGGUGGCAGCCUGGGCAUAAGUCCUUUGGAAUAGGGUAUCAUAGAGGGUGAGAAUCCCGUCUUUGACUCAGUGCAUGCUACUAUGUGAUACGUUUUCAAAGAGUCGAGUUGUUUGGGAAU
rnacentral:sRNA from 1 species